rnacentral:rRNA from 1 species
CACUACGGCCAUGCCACCCUGACUGAACAUGCCUGAUCUCAUCAGCUAAGCAGGGUCGGGCCUGGUUAGUACUUGGAUAGGAGACCCCCUAGGAAGAUGGUGCUGUAGGCA